CUGUGGGCUGAGUCUCCUCAGGGAAGGGCGUCCCGCUGCCCUUGCUGUGACACCAGGGUCCGUUUGUGCAGGGGGGACACGAGUGACUUUGUAGGCGCCAGCAGGGAGAAGACAACCGGUGUGGCCUUGGUGCGACUCCCCUGGGCAGCCCCGAGGAGCUGCAGUUUCCGGCCCUGGACUCCCGGAGCCCAGGACAGUGAGCUGUAACCAGCGCUGUCUGUGAUGCCCCUCGCUGCCCGGGAGUCCAGGACGCGGCUGGGUCGGGGCAGCCCAGGCAGCCGUCUGCUGGGCUCGGAGAGGGAGGAGGAGACCAGAGGCUGGAGCAGACAGCAGCUGGAGGAGCCCUGCAGCGAGGAGCUGGGAGCAGUGCCUGCUAGGCCAGCAUGCUUAGCCCAGGUUAUUAACAUAAACUACUUGGACAAUUGGAAAGAGCCCUGAACGAUCCUGAUUCCAGUCCUGGAAAGCAAUGAACUUCCAGAGUGUUGUCCAUUAUUCUGGCAAGGUUUUCUUCCUACCAGUAACUCUCGUGAUUUCUGCCCAUUUUUCACUUUUCUGAUCCUGCAUUUCUAAUUGGCUCCAGUCUGGGCUGAUGUUGCUGAGCCCUGUGUCACACAGUGAGUACCCAGACCUUUAGAAAAGAUCUGUAUUGAGAGCUUCCUGGCUGGAGGAUUUGAUUCCCAUAUUCAUUGUUUUAUUUUCUUGACUAUUGUGAAGAUCUACACCCUGGUCCUCCAAAUUGGCCGUGAAAUCUUUAGUCUUUCUCCAAGAACAUCAGGGAAAUCAAAUUAUACCUGUUGAGGGUAUGUAUUGAUGCCUGUCUAGUCAAAUCUAGGCAAAUACUAAAUAUGUGAAAUUGAUUUUGCUGUUUAUCUUGAAAGUGUUCCCAACAGGAACUGUUACAAAUUAAAUGAUUGUGUGCUCUUAAAUUUCAUGCACUGAAGCCCGAGCCCGAGCCCCCAGUGUGAGUGUAUUUAGACCGGUUCUUCACAGCAAGAAUAAGCUAACCAAGGGUGCGAAGGUUGGGUCCCUCAAUCAAGUUCAGGCCCUGUCCUACUUCUGCUCCAGUUGUGUAUGCUUUUGUCCUUGUGUGUGCACCAACGUGCUCUUUCUUGGUAGGGAAGGUUGUGUGCUUUGUCUCACAUGCAAUAAUAAUUGUCAGUGUUUUUAUUUGCAGAUUGUGUUACAAUAUCUGAAAUGUCUUAUCACAGCUUCAACAGUAGUGUGACAUAGCAGCCAUUGUUACAUUCACUAGGAAAGAGGGAGCUCGGCUGUGGGACUGAACUGUCCCUCCACGGUGCAUCAUGUUCGGUGGUCUGAGGCACAGACAGCUUUGGGCACAGAACCAACCCGGACUCUGAGGCCUCCUUCACCACCUCAUGCAGGCCAGGCCUCGGCCCCAGGCCAACUUCCUGAGAACCUCUUGAGGUUGUGAUGCACAGCUAUGGACAAGGAAGUGUCCUGUCCCCUGUCCAGACCAGCAAAGGCCAACCUGCCUGCGUCCUGAAGGAAAAAAGGAAGGAGGAGAAUGAGAACAUGUAAAAUUUACAUUUCAACAGAGGGCUGUACUGAUCUCUUAAUCCAGCAAUACAUACUGCUUAUGUGUUCAUAUUGUAUGUGUUAAAAUUUAGUAGAGGUUAUGUAUGCAUAGAGUGACUACAUUUUUAUCCUAAAUGAAUUUUUUUUUCUAUUCUGCGGUUUGAACUCAAGUCUAAGCCAGGUCCCAAGCCCUUUUUAUUUUUAUUUUGAGGUAGGGUUUCCCUAAGUUCAAGUUGCCCAGGCUGGGCUUGAGGCUUGAUGUUUCUGCUUCAGCCUCCCAGAGUUCUGGGAUUAAAGGUGCUGACCCCACACCCAGCUCCAAAAUGAAUGUUUUCAAGUGAAAGAAG
rnacentral:lncRNA from 1 species